rnacentral:tRNA from 1 species
GGGCCUGUAGCUCAAUGGUUAGAGCCGGCCCAUCCUAACGGUCUGGUUGGGGGUUCAAGUCCCUCCAGGCCCACCA